rnacentral:rRNA from 2 species
CGGGUGAGUAACACGUGGGUAACCUACCUAUAAGACUGGGAUAACUCCGGGAAACCGGGGCUAAUACCGGAUAAUAUUUUGAACCGCAGGGUUCAAUAGUGAAAGACGGUUUCGGCUGUCACUUAUAGAUGGACCCGCGCCGUAUUAGCUAGUUGGUAAGGUAACGGCUUACCAAGGCGACGAUACGUAGCCGACCUGAGAGGGUGAUCGGCCACACUGGAACUGAGACACGGUCCAGACUCCUACGGGAGGCAGCAGUAGGGAAUCUUCCGCAAUGGGCGAAAGCCUGACGGAGCAACGCCGCGUGAGUGAUGAAGGUCUUCGGAUCGUAAAACUCUGUUGUUAGGGAAGAACAAAUUUGUUAGUAACUGAACAAGUCUUGACGGUACCUAACCAGAAAGCCACGGCUAACUACGUGCCAGCAGCCGCGGUAAUACGUAGGUGGCAAGCGUUAUCCGGAAUUAUUGGGCGUAAAGCGCGCGUAGGCGGUUUCUUAAGUCUGAUGUGAAAGCCCACGGCUCAACCGUGGAGGGUCAUUGGAAACUGGGAAACUUGAGUGCAGAAGAGGAGAGUGGAAUUCCAUGUGUAGCGGUGAAAUGCGCAGAGAUAUGGAGGAACACCAGUGGCGAAGGCGGCUCUCUGGUCUGUAACUGACGCUGAUGUGCGAAAGCGUGGGGAUCAAACAGGAUUAGAUACCCUGGUAGUCCACGCCGUAAACGAUGAGUGCUAAGUGUUA